GACGAACGCUGGCGGCGUGCUUAACACAUGCAAGUCGAGCGGAGCGGCGAACGGGUGAGUAACGCGUGAGUAACUGCCCCCCUCUCUGGGAUAACAGUUGGAAACGGCUGCUAAUCCCGGAUAGUGGGGGAUGACUCGCGUCCUAUCAGCUUGUGGGUGGGGUAGUGGCCUACCAAGGCGACGACGGGUAGCCGGCCUGGGAGGGCGACCGGCCACAUAGGGCGUGGAUACGGGCCGAACUCAUUCGGGAGGAAGCAGUGGGGAAUAUUGCGCAAUAGGGGAAACCCUUAUGCAGCAACGCGCGUGCGGGAUGUCGGCGUUCGGGUUGUAAUCCGCUUUCAGCCAUGACGCGGUAGUGGCAGAAGAAGCACCGGCUAACUACGUGCCAGCAGCCGCGGUAAUUC
rnacentral:rRNA from 1 species